GUAGGUUUUUUUUUUUCAUUUGUGCUGCUACAUGUGCUUAUUUGUUUAAUGUUUGCAAUUGAACGGAUUUGUGUCAUAUUUAUUACUCUUGCAGAGUAAAAAAACACGCUUUAAAGUUGCUGUUUUAAUAAGUGUGUCAGUCAAACCGUCCCAGUUCAGUUUGUUGCAGCUCUACCUAAUAUAAAAGUCAUUUAGAAUCGGAUUCAAUGAAAAGAUCCGAAUCAAAAUAUUUAUUGGUUCGCGAAUCGGACACCGGUAGAUGCGAGUAAUUUUAUCUCCUCAAGCCGUGAUUGCACGUUGAGAGUCUUGGUCAGAGCUCCAUAAAGCAGACAAACCUGACUUUUCAGCAGCAAGGAAACUACUCUCAUGUCAAGAAAAGAUGUUUGCAAAAUCUGUGGCAUCCUAGAAAGUUCCUCGCACCUUGGCACUGCUGUGGACAGUCAUUCAGACAGUGGUCACAGCGAGGAAGAGUCCAGUAAUAAAGAAUCUACAGUUGUAUCAUCCUGGAUCCCUGAUGCAAGCCAUGUCCCAGAGAAUGACCUUAUCAAGGGUCCAGGUGAAGUUCUGCUGUAUUACUGCUACUGUCAGAUCCUCAGAUCAUUUGUCAGUGGUGUAAUAGUGGGGAAUGCGAAUCCCCAAAGAUACACGGACAAACUCAGUGAGCCUGUAACUGUGUGAUUUUAAGUCUGCAAACUUCUUUUUUUAAAACUGUUGUACCAGUUCAGUCGUGAUUUAAAAAAUGGGACACUAUGCAAAUCUUCAGUAAAUUACAAAUCAAUCUCA